rfam:Felis catus isolate Cinnamon breed Abyssinian chromosome A2, whole genome shotgun sequence.
GCCUGAGUGGCUCAGUCGGUUGAGCGUCUGACUUCGGCUCAGGUCAUGAUCUCGCGGUUCGUGAGUUCGAGCCCCGUAUCGGGCU